ACAAUCCCUCCGAUCUAAUAAUUCAUCCACUAUUCAGAGAGUCAUCAUUCUCUUCGGAUUCACCCGUAUUGAAAAAGAACAUCAGGCCGGUUAGGUGCAUGAUGCAGCGCACUAUCUUCUUAAUACGACGAUAUACAUAUUCAUUGACGGGAGUAAUAAGGACGUUACUUUAUAGGUCAAGUCAAGGAAAGCAUGAACGUUAUCGAAUCCUGAUUUGCUUCUGACUCAUGUGUCGUCACCGAGCCGACGUCUGCAAACCGCGUAUUCAGAUGGAAUGCACUCGUCUUCCAGAAUCUGUUCUUCAGGAAUCUCAGUAUUUAAGUUCAGAACACAUGGAGAUGUUGUGCUUGAAGCAGAACAAAUAUUCAGAACUAGCUAGUUCAAUCUUGCACUUAUCUCUGACUUCCUUCUCAUUUUUAAAUAUUCAGAACAAAUCUGGAGGCCAGCUGGGCCGGCCCUGGUUCGGCCGAACCAGGACCCUGGUGACGCCGACUCCGGCUGGCCUGACAUUAACAAAUAUUUAGCUAUCACAUAGAGUGUCUAGUACAUGUUACAUAGGCCACCGUCCAUGUUUAGCAAUAUAAGUAAACUGCAUAUGGCAAGAUUAGACAAGAUUAUCCACCAUCCUUCAUUUCACUAAUAUAUAACAAAACUGUAUAUAUGUUUAGGACAAGCCUUAUAUUUGGAUACUAUUAAUUAUUGGAUUACUUUUGCCUAUUUAUUUCAGUUGUGCUGUCUAUAUAACCAUGGUAAAACAAAGAAAAAACACAAGCCAUAGCUUCAUACAAAGCAAUCACACAAAUGGGCAAGCAGAUGCCGAAAUGUAGCCGGGGACUUCUGCUUCUGUUGUUGGCCAUUCUAGGCUGUUUUUGCAUUCCUGGCCACGUGUAUGGUACAAAUCUGGAUUACACCUGGAGUGCAUCCCUGAAUGAAGGACGCAACAAUGUCAAUAUAAAUGGUUUGGUGCCCGUACCAUGCAACAUUUUCUCCCAAUCGAAGGUCUGCUGUAGAAAUGUAUGCUACCCUAGCUUGCAAGCCUGUGAGGCAAAUUGCAAGCCAAUUGUCUAAUCAGCUUAUCAAGCUUGUAACAGUAAAAAAAUGAUAAUAAUAUUGUCCGUUGUUCUCUAA